UAAACAAAGAUUACAAACACCAUAACACGAAGUUUAAUGUUUAACUGCAUCAGUUUCUUUUGACACAUCAGAUACAUUGUUAAUAUUUACAUCAAACAUAAUUCCAUGUAAAAAAUAUAAGUUGAAAUGUCUCACAAACAGUAUUUUAGAGUUCCCUAGCAGUGGCAACACUCACAAUGAUUACAAGUUUACAUUUCCACAUUGAUCCAGAUCAGAUCAGACCAGAUCCCAUUUCCACAGAUAAUACAAGGAAAACACUUCAUAUGUGAAACCAGAGGAGAGAGAUGGAAAGUAGAUGCAUGGCAGUCAUCUUCAGUAGGACAUUGAAAAUAACUGAAUUUCAAUGCAAUAAGAGGCAUAUACAGUAUAAUGUUUAGUUAUGGGCGCUACAAAGUUAGUUUCAUAAAACUCUGUAACAUGGUAAAGGUUAUUGUGAAAAUCUAUUGCUAACACAAGUUCGACAGCAGUUGUUGGACAAUUGUUGUUUUGCCAAUACCACAGACAACAUAACUGUUUAGUGUCCACAAAUGCAGCAGUUUGUAGCUUAUAUUGCAAAUAACAAAAUAAUAACAGGAGAAGGAGGCAUAGGAGGAUGUGAAAGAGGAGGAUGUGGAGGAUGAUGAUGAUGAUGAUGAGGAGAAAAGGAAUAUGAGGAUGAGGAGGAGAAUUAGGAAGAGGAGAAGGAGGAUGUUGAGGCGGAUCAGGAGAAGGGGGAGGAGGUUAAUAUGGAUGAGGAGGAGGAGGAGGAUGUGGAGGAGGAGGAGGUUAAUAUGGAUGAGGAGGAGGAGGAGGAUGUGGAGGAGGAAGAGGUUAAUAUGGAUGAGGAGGAGGAGGAAUGUGGAGGAGGAAGAGGUUAAUAUGGAUGAGGAGGAGGAGGAAUGUGGAGGAGGAAGAGGUUAAUAUGGAUGAGGAGGAGGAGGAUGUGGAGGAGGAGGAGGUUAAUAUGGAUGAGGAGGAGGAGGAUGUGGAGGAGGAAGAGGUUAAUAUGGAUGAGGAGGAGGAGGAGGAUGUGGAGGAGGAAGAGGUUAAUAUGGAUGAGGAGGAGGAGGAGGAGGAUGUGGAGGAUGUGGAUAUGGAGGAUGUGGAUAUGGAGGAUGUGGAGGAGGAGGAUGUGGAGGAGGAAGAGGAUGAUGUGGAGGAGGAGGAGGAUGAUGAUGAAGAGGAGGAGGAUGAUGAAGAGGAAGAGGAUGUGGUGGAGGAGGAGGAUGUGGAAUAGGAGGAGGCUUAGGAUGUGGAGGAGGAGGAGGAUGUGGAAUAGGAGGAGGAUUAGGAUGUGGAGGAUGAGGAGAUCAGCAAUAGUAAUGGUGUUACAUGAGUAGGAUGUGCUCCACUGUUUCCAUACAGAGGGCACUUUACAGCAGUAAUACACGUCAUCAGCAGUUUCAGACCAACCAGAAACCACUGGCACACCUAACGAAAUACUAGCACACAUAUAGCGACAUCGCAAGACAACAAGGUCAUGAAGGAGAAAGUCUCACACAAAAUGUUACUCUAUCCCAAGAACCACUGUUUACAAGUUACAUUUUAUUACCUUCAAAAACCUCUAGGAGUUAAUCCGUUUGUUUCUUUCACAUUGAGCACAAACACAAUUAGUUUCCUUUUUUUAAGAACAUACAACUGACAUGGUAAAACACUGAACUUUGGGUUGUAUUUGUGUGACAGUCGUAUUUCGGUGGUAAUAGCUUCUAACUGGCUCUCAGUUCAAACACAUUAGCUUAUGGUCUGAAAUCAGCACUGUCACAGUGUAGCCUUGUCCUACGCAAAAUACCUGGAGUAGUAUUGUUUAUUACUGACAUGCUAUUCUCUGCAAGAUGAAUGCUAGAUCGUUUGAUUUGAAACUCUUUAUAUCAAAAUAAUUCUAAAAACCAUGUUCAAAAAUCUUGAAAUCAGACAGAGAAAGGUUGGGUUGAAGUCGUCUCCUGACCACCCUCAAGCUAUCAUCAAAACAUUACAACAAAAUCACAUUUCUAAAAUACACCAAGAAAUCAAUGUUCGCUCGUUCAAGUUCUUUGAGGACAGCCCUGGUUGGUGUUUGAUUGUCAAAUUUGUCUAUUGGACCUGCGAGUCUGACGAAGUCCUUCUUUAUAAUAACUUUGUUAUACGCCACAAAACACAAUGGACCUCAUUACAUCUCUGAGUUGAGCUAUUUCACAUACAGAUAUGGAGAGCAAGCCAGCGUUGGGGACGUAAACUGGGAAAGUAUUGUCCAUUUCAAAGCAUCUGCAUAUACAUCCCUUCCCAGCAGACAAAAUGGACGUUGUCAUGAAAACAAAUGAACAUGUCAUGAACUACAGUAUGGUAUGCUGUCAUGAACUACAGUAGGGUAUGCUGUCAUGAACUACAGUAGGGUAUGCUGUCAUGAACUACAGUAGGGUAUGCUGUCAUGAACUACAGUAGGGUAUGCUGUCAUGAACUACAGUAGGGUAUGCUGUCAUGAACUACAAAAUGGUAUGCUGUCAUGAACUACAUUACCCCUAUGCUGUCAUGAACUACAGUAUAAUAUGCUGUCAUGAACUACAGUAGGGUAUGCUGUCAUGAACUACAGUAUGGUAUGCUGUCAUGAACUACAGUAUGGUAUGCUGUCAUGAACUACAGUACCCCUAUGCUGUCAUGAACUACAAAAUGGUAUGCUGUCAUGAACUACACAAUGGUAUGCUGUCAUGAACUACAGUAUGGUAUGCUGUCAUGAACUAGAGUAUAGUAUGCUGUCAUGAACUACACAAUGGUAUGCUGUCAUGAACUACAGUAUGGUAUGCUGUCAUGAACUACAGUAUAGUAUGCUGUCAUGAACUACAGUAGGGUAUGCUGUCAUGAACUACAGUACCCCUAUGCUGUCAUGAACUACAAAAUGGUAUGCUGUAAUGAACUACAGUAUGGUAUGCUGUCAUGAACUACAGUAGGGUAUGCUGUCAUGAACUACAGUAUAGUAUGCUGUCAUGAACUACAGUAUGGUAUGCUGUCAUGAACUACAGUACCCCUAUGCUGUCAUGAACUACAAAAUGGUAUGCUGUCAUGAACUACAGUAUGGUAUGCUGUCAUGAACUACAGUAUGGUAUGCUGUCAUGAACUACAGUAUGGUAUGCUCUCAUGAACUACAGUAUGGUAUGCUGUCAUGAACUACAAAAUGGUAUGCUGUCAUGAACUACAGUAUGGUAUGCUGUCAUGAACUACAGUAGGGUAUGCUGUCAUGAACUACAGUAUGGUAUGCUGUCAUGAACUACAGUACCCCUAUGCUGUCAUGAACUACAGUACCCCUACGCUGUCAUGAACUACAAAAUGGUAUGCUGUCAUGAACUACAGUAUGGUAUGCUGUCAUGAACUACAGUAUGGUAUGCUGUCAUGAACUACAGUACCCCUAUGCUGUCAUGAAGUACAGUACCCCUACGCUGUCAUGAACUACAAAAUGGUAUGCUGUCAUGAACUACAAAAUGGUAUGCUGUCAUGAACUACAGUAUGGUAUGCUGUCAUGAACUACAGUAUGGUAUGCUGUCAUGAACUACAGUAUGGUAUGCUGUCAUGAACUCCAGUAUGGUAUGCUGUCAUGAACUACAGUAGGGUAUGCUGUCAUGAACUACAGUAUGGUAUGCUGUCAUGAACUCCAGUAUGGUAUGCUGUCAUGAACUACAGUAGGGUAUGCUGUCAUGAACUACAGUAUGGUAUGCUGUCAUGAACUACAGUAUGGUAUGCUGUCAUGAACUACAGUAGGGUAUGCUGUCAUGAACUACAGUAUGGUAUGCUGUCAUGAACUACAGUAUGGUAUGCUGUCAUGAACUACAGUAGGGUAUGCUGUCAUGAACUACAGUAUGGUAUGCUGUCAUGAACUACAGUAUGGUAUGCUGUCAUGAACUACAAUAUGGUAUUCUCCAGGGUUGUGGUCAAUACCAUUUCAAUUUCAGUCAAUUCAGAAUGUAAACCCAAUUACAGUUCAAAAUGUUCCUCAUUGAAAAGCAUUGAAGAGAAUUGGAAUUUGAGUGUACUUCCUGAAUUGACUGGAUUUAAAAUGGUAUUCACCCCAACCCUGGCAUGCUCUAUUUUUUUGGCAGCUACAAGUAAAUUAUAUACUAAAACUAAAACAGCACUUAGAUUGGAUCUAGAACCAUUAGCUUGUUGUUAUAUAUGGUGUGGACAUUGUGAGGAGUAAUCCAGGAUGAACUGCCAAUUAUCCUGUUUAGAUAUCCUGUCAUUCACUAUCAAUAUUUAUUCUAUAUUUAUUAUUACUAAAACCAAUGGUGACAAAAUAACAUCACACACUCAAUCACACAUACAUGUAAGUAUUUAUAAAGAAGCAAGCAAAUUAGCUUUAACAAACAUAAAACAAAAAGCAAUACAUACAAAAGUGUAUACUAAGCUAGAAAAAAUAGUUCACUACUACUGUGGGAAGAGAAAAGAGGCCACUACUACUGUGGGAAGAGAAAAGAGGCCACUACUACUGUGGGAAGAGAAAAGAGGCCACUACUACUGUGGGAAGAGAAAAGAGGCCACUACUACUGUGGGAAGAGAAAAGAGGCCACUACUACUGUGGGAAGAGAAAAGAGGCCACUACUACUGUGGGAAGAGAAAAGAGGCCACUACUACUGUGGGAAGAGAAAAGGUAAAAUAGUAUAAUAAAACCUUACACCAUGGUGUACAGUCAUGGUGAAGAGUAAGUAACCCCCGGAAGGUUGUCUUUGUUGUAUUUAUUUGGACAGAUGGAUAUGUCAUCUUCGCUUCAACACUACUGACAAAGGUAACCUCAUUUAAAACAUGACACUGAAAGAUUAAACUUGGCAAUAAUUUAUUCAUCAAAAAUCUACAAGACUGAGAUCUGGGCUUUGACUCGGCCAUUCCAUAACCCUCCAUUUCUACAGGAAUGAGAUCUGGGCUUUGACUCGGCCAUUCCAUAACCCUCCAUUUCUACAGGAAUGAGAUCUGGGCUUUGACUCGGCAAUUCCAUAACCCUCCAUUUCUACAGGAAUGAGACCUGGGCUUUGACUCGGCCAUUCCAUAACCUUCCAUUUCUACAGGAAUGAGACCUGGGCUUUGACUCGGCCAUUCCAUAACCCUCCAUUUCUACAGGAAUGAGACCUGGGCUUUGACUCGACCAUUCCAUAACCCUCCAUUUCUACAGGACUGAGAUCUGGGCUUUGACUCUGCCAUUCCAUAACCCUCCAUUUCUACAGGAAUGAGACCUGGGCUUUGACUCGACCAUUCCAUAACCCUCCAUUUCUACAGGACUGAGAUCUGGGCUUUGACUCGGCCAUUCCAUAACCCUCCAUUUCUACAGGAAUGAGACCUGGGCUUUGACUCGGCCAUUCCAUAACCCUCCAUUUCUUAUUUUUUUGCCAUUCUGUUGUAGCUUUGCUUCAUUGUCCUGUUGGAAGAUCCAUGUUCGAUUCAGCUUCAGCUUCUUUACAGGUGGCCUCACAUUCUCCUCAAGAAUUCUCUGGUACAAUAUGGAAUUCAUGGUUGAUUCAAUGAUGGCACGUUGGCCAGGCCCUGAGGCAGCAAAGCAGCCCCAAACCAUAAUGCCACCGCCUCCAUGCUUUAUUGUUGGUAUGAGGUUAUUCUGUUCAAAGGCAGUGUUUUGUUUUCAUUAAAUGUGGCGUCUGGCAUUGCGCCCAACAACUUCACCGUUGACUCAUCUGUCCAGAGCACAUUGUUCUAGUAGUUGUGGUCUUUACCCAGGUGUUGUCUGGCAAAUGUCAGUGGUGUCUUGAUAUUCUUUCUUUCGGUCAGCUCUUGGGUUAAAUUUGGUGGGAAGACCUGUCCUAUGUAGGUUGCCAGUGGUCUGGAAUGUUCUCCAUUUGUGGAUGAUCCGUCAGACAGUGGAAUGAUGUGUGGAAAUGGAUAUGUGACCCCUCCCAGACUCAUGGGCAUCAAUAAUGUUUCUUCUGAGGGCCUCGGAGGUCUUUUGAUCUUGGCAUGAUGUGUAACCACACAGCCAUAUGGUUAAAACCAAGUUUAUAAUCUUUAUGGAAGGCUGGACCCUCCCAAGGUACUCUCUAAUGACUUCCUUAAUGCACCUUUUUUGGUGCAGCUGAAUCUAAGUUCAGCCAUUGUAAAGGAAGGGGUAUACUCACGUUUUCUGCAUAAGGACAUUGCAUGUUUGCUUAUAUUAAUUGCAUAACAUUUUCAAAGUAAAUAUUCGGUUACCUUUAUCAAUGAAUUUAACUCAAAUAUCCAUGUGUCCAAAUAUGUAAAAUACAUACAAAUAAUGACCACUUUCCAGGGGGUGUACAUAUUUCUUCACAUACAUUUUUUUGUUGACAAAAAUCAACCCAGUAGGGCAGUGAGGUGAAGACAGUGAGGAUAGCUAGGUCCAUGUGAAGUAGAGAGUGAAGUUUGAAGAACAGAGUUCCAUCAGGACAGUGAGGUGAAGUGGAGUGAGAUGGUGUCUAUAAUAACAGAACAAGAUGAGGGGUCCUACUGACAGCCUCGGUGGAACAUGCAGUGCACAACACACAAGGUUUUCUUGUCCACAAACAACUGACACUUCCAUCAUAGCAGGGGAUGCCGACUCCAUCAUCACUCUCAUAGGACAGACAGAGAGACAGUGGUGGUGAUGGGGCAGGGGCAUAGCAUAGACACCCUUACAGCAAAGCUUGGUGUAGCUUGGUGUAUUUCAGAAUGAUGAUGUCUCUUACAGUGCUGGAGCUAUAGCAGUGGGUCACACGGACUGCUCCUUAGGGAAGAGGGGCCGUGGCGCCUCGCCCUGACCUUGGCCUUGGGCGGGAUAGCUGGCGGGGUACAGGGGGUUGUUGGAGAGAGGAUGUGUGUAGGGGUUCUGGGGUAAGAAGGUAACAGGAGGGGGGUAGGUCUGAGUUGGUUGUGACUCGAGACAGUGUUCCUUGUUGUAGACUCGAUGGUAGCUCACAUGUUCAGCCGGGUUGGAUGGUUCUUGCCACCCACAGUUCUGUGGAAACAAAGAGAGUCAAAGCGAACAGACCAUUUUAGUGUCCGCUAUAAACAAAUAAAUAUCAAUAUGGCAUUGAGAGUUUGUUGAAAGAUUGCCUUC
rnacentral:lncRNA from 1 species